rnacentral:misc_RNA from 1 species
CGGGCUCAAGCUUGCUGGCGCGUAUAUGGACGAGGGCCGACGACGCGGUCUCUUGGCUCUUGGUCGAGCCGCACAGCGAGCGGGCCUUACCGUCGCUGACAUACAGAAAAUGGGUGCGGCAUGAAGGCUCCCGAAAUCGCAUCUGCUGCAUCUGAGCUUGUGGGCGGAGAUCGUGCCGAAGCAUACGGCGACAUCUACGACGGCUGGAACAAGACCGCAGCAAUGUGGAACGCGAUCCUGUUGGCUGCCGGCAAGCCCCCGUGUCUCGAUGCGCAUAUAGCCGCAACGAUGAUGGAGGGCUUGAAGAUGGUCCGCCGCUUCAAUGGCCCGUUCCGCGCUGAUAAUUACAUCGACGCUUGCGGUUAUGCUGGCUGUGCCGGGGAAAUUGCGGCCCGCGAUGCGCAGGGAACGAUGCGAUGACCGACUAUUUCGAGAUGGCGGCUGAUCUGGACCGCGCGGUGAUCGUCAAUAUGCCGUUCCCGCCCAGCACCAACAACCUGUUUAUCAACGUCGCUAAGGGUCGCAUUCCGUCCGCUCGUUAUGCCGACUGGCGGCAAGAGGCUGGAUGGUCGCUCAAGGCUCAACGUCCGCGCUCCAUCAAGGGUCCGGUCAUUCUCAAGUAUCUGUUUCAGGAGGGCCAGGAUCGCCGCAAGCG